rnacentral:rRNA from 1 species
UACGUAGGGGGCAAGCGUUGUCCGGAUUUAUUGGGCGUAAAGAGCGUGUAGGCGGCUUUGCAAGUCCGUUGUGAAAACUCGAGGCUCAACCUCGAGACGCCGGUGGAAACUGCAAAGCUAGAGUCCGGAAGGGGCGAGUGGAAUUCCUGGUGUAGCGGUGAAAUGCGCAGAUAUCAGGAGGAACACCAAUGGCGAAGGCAGCUCGCUGGGACGGUACUGACGCUGAGACGCGAAAGCGUGGGGAGCAAACAGG